AAGUAAGGAAUCUAAAAAAGGUAAGGCUAAACAAGAAGGAAAGGGAAUGGGGAUUGCUGAUGAU